GGUAGUAGUGAGUCAGGGUACUGGGGUACGAGGUAGUAUUGAGUCGGGGUACUGGGGUACGAGGUAGUAGUGAGUCGGGGUACUGGGGUACGAGGUAGUAGUGAGUCGGGGUACUGGGGUACGAGGUAGUAGUGAGUCGGUGUACUGGGGAACGAGGUAGUAGUGAGUCGGCGUACUGGAGUACGAGGUAGUAGUGAGUCGGGGUACUGGGGUACGAGGUAGUAGUGAGUCGGGGUACUGGGGUACGAGGUAGUAGUGAGUCGGUGUACUGGGGUACGAGGUAGUAGUGAGUCGGGGUACUGGGGUACGAGGUAGUAGUGAGUCGGGGUACUGGGGUACGAGGUAGUAGUGAGUCGGUGUACUGGGGUACGAGGUAGUUGGGAGAGUUAUUGAGGUAAUAUGUACGUGUAGGUUUGGUCAGGUUAUUUUUAGUACUAUGUACAUAGUAGGAGAGAAAGGCAUAAAGUCCGGGUAGCCAUUUGAUUAACUGAUAGAGACACUGACCUGUCUCUCUACCUGUACAGGUGUGUACCUGUCUGAGACUGACCUGUGUCUC